CACGCACGUGGAGACACGUACUUACACGUGACUGAGAAACGGCCAAUGAGUCAUCGACGACGCUGUUAACGCGCGCACACGCCAACUCUUCCUUUUUUUUUCGGGAGGGUUGACGGCGAAUUUUCCAUUGAUAACAGAGCGAUAUCGCGAAAAUAAACUCGCGAGAUGGUCGACCAUUUAAUCGUAGCAACUUCUAAGAUUUACAUAAAAAAUGUUAAUACCGCCCGAUAGGAAGGACGUAACCACCGAAUCCAUUCUUUCAUUAUCUGUACAGCUGAUGACGUCAGGUUGAUAGCGCGAAGACACGUGUUUACACGCAAGCCUGAAACGUGUACACAGUGCGUUAUCGUUCCAGCGGCAAGUGUUACAAGCUACUACGUGUCCAAGAAUGCUGCUAGUAAUAAGAAAAGAAGAUACAAAGAAGAAUCGUUGCUCUUUUCAUUGUUGGUUCAAUUUUGGUUUCUACCGAUGAUUUCAUGAGGGAAAGCAUUGGAACGUGUCAAUUGAGACAGUUCUAACAGGGAACGUAAACCUCCCGCAUCAUCGUGCCGCGGCAAACUAAGUUUGUAUGUAUGUUUAUCGCUCGUAUGUUCGACCCGAGUGAUGCUUCUGUGUAUGAUGUCAGAUUCUAUCUUUGGCCGAGAGAGAAGUAGAUGACCACGCGGGAACUCAGCCAGUCUGUAGCAUCACACGUCUGCGUGGAAAUACUGUUCAAAUUCAUCUCUAACAACAAUACAAUUGGAGGAAUUCGAGUUGUAGACUACGAAGAAUCGGCGACAAAUUUCCAAGUAAACGGCGGUUAAAAUAAAAUGGAUAUUGGCAUUACUUAAGACGUCACAGUUACGAUUGAGACAAGGAAAGAGACAGACGAAAGAAAUGGAUGAGGCGAGCGAAAUUCUGUACUUGAUCGAUGCGAACAACGACGUCGUUUCACUUUUUUUUUUUCGAGUCAUCGACAGCGGAUUCAGGAAUGCCGCGGGCUUGUAGAAAGUGGCCGCGCCGUCCACACGCAACUUGACUCACCGAUUCUGCUUGACCAACGCAACGUCCGACCGCGAUAUUUAUAUUUAUAUGCCGUUGACCACCGCACGGCAGGCCCAGAGUACUGUUUCCGCGAUAAUUACGUAUUCGCACCGCGUGCGUGCGAGUUUCAUUACGCGACUGAUCCAAGAUUCGCGAAAACGGAUCACCAAAUGUAUACCACAGUCAUAUUGUCCUUGUCAGUUCUUGUACUUCAUGUUUUACAUAAUAUCUCUUAAUUUUGUGUAUUUCGCAACACUUUGCUAAUUAUGUAAAAA